CCUCUGCAUGGCUCCCAAGUGCCCGACACACAUGGCGGGCACUCAGUGUGUCAUAAAGGAAGGAAUGAUGUUACUAUGUAGCUUCUGUGAAGGGAGGAGCUCCACGGUCCAGUGUUUUCAUCAGAUGGAAACUUCUUUCUCUUCUCAAGAGGAAUCCCAGGAAGAAUGUAAGUGCGAAAGUCAUUUCUUCUGAUGCUCCCAGCAUCACGUGGUUCCCAGCCAAGGUUACCAGCAGGGGCCUCAUGGAAAAACCAUUACACUCUUUUGGGAACUCUUUCUUAAUUUGUUAUUUGCUGAACUAAAAGGUUCUUCAUUCCUGGGAUUGACUACAUUUCACAUAAAUUGUGGAUGUACUUCUUUUAAAUAAAAAGAUGUUUCCUUUGGAGACCAA